GCAGCAGCGGCAUCCAUGGCCCCCAAGGCGGAGAAGAAGCCGGUGGCGGAGAAGGCCGAGAAGACGACGGCGGCGAAGAAGACCAAGGCCGAGAAGCGGCCGCCGGCGUCCAAGGAGGGCGGCGAGAAGAAGGGCAAGAAGAAGUCGAAGAAGAGCGUGGAGACGUACAAGAUCUACAUCUUCAAGGUGCUGAAGCAGGUGCACCCCGACAUCGGCAUCUCCUCCAAGGCCAUGUCCAUCAUGAACUCCUUCAUCAACGACAUCUUUGAGAAGCUCGCCGGCGAGUCCGCCAAGCUCGCCCGCUACAACAAGAAGCCCACCAUCACGUCCAGGGAGAUCCAGACCUCCGUCCGCCUCGUCCUCCCCGGCGAGCUCGCCAAGCACGCCGUCUCUGAGGGCACCAAGGCUGUCACCAAGUUCACCUCCGCUUAG
rnacentral:rRNA from 1 species